UACGGAGGGUGCAAGCGUUGUCCGGAAUCACUGGGCGUAAAGGGUGCGUAGGCGGGCCUUUAAGUCCGGGGUGAAAUCCUGGAGCUCAACUCCAGAACUGCCUUUGAUACUGAAGAUCUUGAGUUCGGGAGAGGUGAGUGGAACUGCGAGUGUAGAGGUGAAAUUCGUAGAUAUUCGCAAGAACACCAGUGGCGAAGGCGGCUCACUGGCCCGAUACUGACGCUGAGGCACGAAAGCGUGGGGAGCAAACAGG
rnacentral:rRNA from 1 species